AGACAAAUAUGUAAAUCAUGCACCUGUGCUCUUGAACACACACAUAUUUGUAUAGACGCAAACAUUGACCUCUGUCUACGUUCAUUCCCACAUUCAAAAGUUAUGUAAACUUGUUAUGUUUCAACUUCUUCACUUAUAAUGAUAAACUUGGUGAAAUUCUUCUGGUUUUUAUAAGCUUAUGUAACUAAGUUAAGUUAGAUUAGUGUUUCUAAAAUUUUAUCUCAACAACUUUGCAGUGGUACUAAAUGAAAUUUGAUCAUUGUAUUUCUGACACUGAUAACACUGCACUAUAUGCAACCGAAACUCAUUCAUAAUACAUCACUAUGCUUUUUGAAGGACAAGCUUGUGCCACAUUGGCUUUUCAUAAGAAAAUAAUUAAGUGCUUAGGGACCCAAUUAUCCAGACACCUAUCCAAGGUCUCACAGAAUCACAUUUGUUUCAAAAUAGAUGCAACUUAAAAUGUUUCCAUUAGCCAAUGAAGCCCAGGGAUGCUCUGAAGUAUUCAUAGCUUAAAUUUCUCAAAUUGAUAUUGUUAUCAAUUUCAGUCCCAAAUUAAAAUUAUACAUCAUAACUUUUAAAGGGAAGUGAUUAACUGCAAAUAAAUUUCAGGAACAUAUUGAGGUCACAUCUCACAUGUAGUUGAUCCAUAGAAUGCAUGGAACAGCCCUAAUUGAGAUUUUUUACUAAAGAGUACUAAUGGUUAGUUGAACAAUUCAAACUGAUGAAUCUGGAUUGUGAAUUGUGUUUGA
rnacentral:misc_RNA from 1 species